UAGAGAGAGGGACGGAGGGACACGGGAGGAGGAUGGAAAGGAAGCGGGGAGGACGGGGCACAGUGCUCCCCCCUCCGCCAAAGCAGCGCGGUCACCGCCGCGGGGUCGGGCCCGGGGGACGCGGCGGGGAGGGCAAAGGGGCCGGGGGCGGCUCCGCGCUUAAAGCAGGCGUAGGAGCGCGGCGGUGAGCGAUGUGCGCAUUAAUCUGGUGCAAUUAGCGUUAUAACACGCGCCGGCUCAGCCCGCAGUAAAGACAAAGCUUCAUGCAAAUUGCCCUCCCCUUCCCCAUCCCCCGCUCCCGCGGUCUGACGCCGUUUCCCAGCCUGUUUUUAAUGACACGGUGCAGCGGAGUAACUUAAAAUUAAUUGCAAGGUUCUCGGCUAAGCGGAGGGGUGGGGGGAGGCAGUGUCAUUAAGCGGGUCUGGCAAUCACAGCCCAGGCCACCUGCGCUUGGCGGCGAUGCCCGGCCCGGGGGCAGUGCGCGGGUGCGUGCGGGGGACGGCGGGGACGGGGAGGCUUCGUCGGCGCCGCAGUUCGGGCGGUUGGGGCGGUCGGAGAGCCCGGCUGCUGCGGCGGCAGGGCCCGGCGAAGAUGUGUGUGUUUAUCCAUCUAUACAUUUAUAAUGGGGGGAUCUAGAGCAUCCCAACAGUAAUUGCAAUCGUGCGUCGAAGAGGUAAGUCUUACAAUUCUCUUUUCUGAAAGAAGAACCGAAUAAUAGCCAUCAGUAUCCCUUUACUAGCUAUCAGUAGUGACAUCCCAGGCAGUAUUAGUUUGGCUGGACUUUGUGUUUGAUUGUUUUUGUUACUUUUUUUUUUUUUUUUUUUUCCUUUUUUUGGUGGUGGAGAAGUCAGGAUUCACUGUGAGACAACCAGAUGGAAAGGGAGGGCAAUCCCAUUGUCUGUUUGCCAGAAGAUCUCGUUUUGCCCUGGAAAAGGCGAUCAAACACAGCCAGGGGCCACUCAGGAAAGUAAAAGGACUGGGGGGGGUGGCGGGGGGAGGGCGGGGGGGGGAAGAAGAGUGGGUGCAUGUGGAUUUAAUAGCAGUGAAAGUAUUACAGGGGGAUCAGAUUUAGCGGGCGAGCGAGAGGG
rnacentral:lncRNA from 1 species